CAGUAGCCGCGGGAAUACGAAGGGGGCUAGCGUUGCUCGGAAUGACUGGGCGUAAAGGGCGCGUAGGCGGCGGCCAAAGUCAGGCGUGAAAUUCCCGGGCUCAACCUGGGGGCUGCGUUUGAUACUUGGUUGCUUGAGUGGGGAAGAGGGUCGUGGAAUUCCCAGUGUAGAGGUGAAAUUCGUAGAUAUUGGGAAGAACACCGGUGGCGAAGGCGGCGACCUGGUCCUUUACUGACGCUGAGGCGCGAAAGCGUGGGGAGCAAACAGGAUUAGAUACCCCCGUAGUCCCUGUCUCUUAUAU
rnacentral:rRNA from 1 species